AAUAAAUUAUCAUAAAUGAUCUCCACCCUGAUCGUCAAGUACAGCAAAAGGAUAUCAGGACCCGGCUUUAGCCCAACAAGAAGACACUGAUUGACCACCACUCACAGCCAUUCAUUUCUGUCAGAAUGGGAACAUCAUCGAGUAAAGCAUCAUUCUCACCAUCAUGUAAGUUAUGUGAAGACAGGAAGGCCAGUAAACCGGAACCUAGUAAAUGGAGCUGCAAAGAGUGUUGGAUAUUGAUGUGUGACAGUUGUAAACAGAGUAUUCAUCCUGAAAUGAUGCAUCCAGAAACACAUACAGUUACAGAGACUGGAAAAGAUGAUGAUGAUUCAGUCGUAAUCUUGUCUGUUGUGAACACAUACAAAACAAAAUCCAAAAACAUUAUGAGGAUGCUUUGUUUACAUGAUGACAUGAUAUAUUAUCGUCACUUUAAUUCCGAAAAGUCAGAAAAUAGUGUCGUAAAGGCCAAAAUAUCGAAAUCAAUGAAAAUAUUACAAAAGGUUGAUAUUGAAUGUACAGAUCUUGCCAUAUCAUCUACUGACGACAUAUUAUUUUCACCUGCACAGUCGCCAUCAGAGCUUAAAACAUUUGCAAAGUCUGGUGAAACAAAAACUCUGUUGGAUGUUUCUCCAAUGGCCAUAUUCUGUAUCCAUGUAAACAAAGAUAAUGAGAAAAUACUUGUUUUGGUUGAGCAGUCGGACCCGUACAAUCAGAGCAUUGCUGUUUUUGGUACAGGUUAUGAGAAGAAAGUAACAAUUGAUAAUAACAGUAAAAUCUUUAAUAAAAUUCGUCGUAUCGUUUGUGAUUCCAAAAAUAAAAUGUAUGCAAUUGAUGGGAAAGCCGAUGAAGAUGGCAAUAGACGCGUGGUAUCGUUUGAUAUGAAAGGCAACACAAUAUUUAUUUAUGAGGGGUGUCAAAGUAUAAAACUGAUUUAUUCGCACCAACUGAUAUUGUGGUAACUGCGAAGGACAAUAUUAUAAUUGCAGACAUGUUUAGCAAUGCUUUACAUGUACUUAAUACUAAAGGAGAAUUAAUUGCGCUACAAAAUACCAUGGAAUAUGGAAUAGAGAUGCCAGAAAGUCUUAGUUUUGACAAAGCAGGGAAUCUACUAAUUGGUUGUGAUACAUUUGAAAAGCGCAAAGACCCGUUUGCAAAUAUAUACAUGGUGAAAACAUCGGUAUGACUGGGCAUAUGACAUUUGCGCCAAUUUUCAAAAUUUCGUUUUUUUUCAUUUCAUUUGCGCCAAUUAUUGAUUUUUCUUUUGCGCCAAUUUAAUUUGAAGCGGUAGGAUGUGAUAAAUUUCAGAUAAUUUCCGUGACUUAGUUUUAACCUAACGCAGCAGGUACGUGGUGUUCAAUGAGUACAUGUAUAUCCAUACAUGUUGAGCUCAUUGAUUUAAACACUUCUGUUAUGAUAAGAUGGAUCUUUUGUACACAGAAACAAGCCGGGGGAAAUAAGUCGACAAUCUUCGAUGGACAUUCUUUGAGGCAAUCAUACAUUCUCAAAAACAGAAAUAUUUGCUAUAGAUGUAAAAAUAAAUGAUGUAAAAGCUUGGAGUAAAACUGUGAUGGAAUGACAGUUGUGAAAACUUUACAUGAAUAUUACCACGUUGCAGAUGACCACAAGACUGAGGCAAAACAGCUCCGUGUCAGAAGUUAUGUUGUAGAAAACAAUCUGGUGAUAUAUCAAGUAGACCAGGCAAAAUAGUAAGAAUCGAGUUACAGGGAAUGCAAGAAAAUCACCUUCAAUUUUUUGUUAUUAAAUCAAUAAAUUCUGUACAACUUA